UUGACUCAUUAAUGUCAGAAUCUCGAAGGCGUUUCUAUUUUUUUUAAAGUACCAGAAAAAAGUUUCAGAUUAGGAUUCUUAUUAAGCUGAGCAUAUAGAGAAUCAAGAUGGGUGAUUCCGGGCUAAAAGUGGCUUAAGAAGGGAAAAUUUGGAAAUACAACCUAGAUUUUAGCGAAUUAGAUGAAGUCAAGGAUUUCGGGUAGCUGGGAGCUGAAUUUUGAGAUUGUUGUAGGUUUGAAUUUGAUCAGUGCUGCAGGUGAAUUCUGAAUCUGCACAUAUAUAUCAAGCACAUUAUUUCUGCGUUGUUGAAAUUGUUGCAGGGAAAGUUCCCCUAAUAUACGUCUAUCAAUCUUGAGAUGACAUGUAACAAAAGAUCAUUAAGGAUCUCCUUUUACCAUCCGGUUUGGAAAUGAAGAUGGCCCUUAAAAUUACAUGAGUUGCUAUAGGAUCACUCAAACCGUUGUCUACUAGACUCUUCACCAACUGUUCAACGGAGAAGAAUAAAAAGCAUGCCCAAUUCGAAUUGGGAUUGUUCUAAUGCACUACGUCUCCACCAACAAAGUUAUCAUCCUGGAUGUGCGCAGUCUCAGUUAGAAGGUAGGAUAUCCCAUCACCAUUUCAAAUUACAUUCUAAAAACAGUUCAUAUACACAAUUUUCGCAUUACAUGCUACCUAGAGUUCAACUGCCGAUGAAAAUUUUGCUUACUGUUACCGUCUCGCAUGUUUGCUAAUAUGUUUUUGUUCUAUUAUAAUCUUAUGAACCCCAACACCGGAGUCAAAGAUGGUCUUCCAGAUUACAUGAUGUCCCUAUAAGAUCUUUCAGGCCACUGUCUAAUAGACUCUCAACUAGCUGUUGGAUGGAAAGGAAUGGAAACCAUGAAAAAAAUGCCAAUGCGAGUUUCUAAAAGUUGGGAAGAGAUUAGUCUACCCUAAGGAAGUUACCAGCCUGGAUGCGGUCUCCACCAACAAAGUUACCGUUAUCGAGUUCAAUAAUUUUUUCUUGCAUGGGUUGUAAAACUUGACCAAAAAUAUCAUCAGAGUUUUAAGACACAACUCACUACUUUUUAGUUCUUACGUUAAUACUUCACAAGUUAUCUAUAACACAAUUAAAUUGUGGUCA